rnacentral:rRNA from 1 species
UACGGAGGGUGCAAGCGUUAUCCGGAUUCACUGGGUUUAAAGGGUGCGUAGGCGGAUUUGUAAGUCCGUGGUGAAAUCUCCGAGCUUAACUCGGAAACUGCCAUGGAUACUAUAAGUCUUGAAUGUUGUGGAGGUUUGCGGAAUAUGUCAUGUAGCGGUGAAAUGCUUAGAUAUGACAUAGAACACCGAUUGCGAAGGCGGCAGGCUACACAAAUAUUGACGCUGAGGCACGAAAGCGUGGGGAUCAAACAGG